CACCUUUAAGUUAGGCUAACUACACGUUUUUAUAGGAGCAAGAUAUCUAUCGAUAUGUAAAAAUGUGGAUACAUAAUCACUCUGAAAUUAAACAAGGAUGGCACAAAACAUCACCAUAACUAUGUUUCAGUGAUAACUACAUUAAAUACGUUGAAAUGAUGAUAAGAAAUAUUUGAAGGAGUCACUAGCCUAACAGUGGGAUCAUAACAACACUAACAAAGAACAUUAAAUGCUGCAUAACACCUUUCCAGACGCCCAAACAGUGCCUUGCGAACAUAAAGUUCAGUUUUAGGAGCAAUUUGUUAUUAAACACGUUGUGAAGACGCAGUUGCCAAGGUAGGAUGCUAUUAAUAUCAGCGCGGGAAUUAAAUCAAUACGUCAAACAGACUGCGAUUCUACGCCAGUUUUCCGCAUGAUGGCGACUCUGAGGUUUAUAAAGUGCUUCUCUAGCGUCAUUUUCUCUCUUGUGUGAAGCAGAGAGCGGAACAGGCAAAACUUAAAUGUCUCUGAGGAGAAACGCUGAAAAAUAGGACCCAUUGUUCUUGGAAAGCUAAACGGAUUUCAAACGAUUAAAGUCACUGAACUUACAUAGUGAGUGGUGACCGAAGCCGUCGUUUCUGUUUGAGUUUCACUGACGAAAGAAAGUCAUACAGGUUUGAAACAUUGAGGGCUGAAAUAUUCUUGACAGAUUUCGUGAGAAUCGCCCAUGAGUACAAAUUAAGGCAAAAGACUUGUGCGGCCACUGUCCACAUCCAGACAGAGGACAGAUGUUUCCACAACAGAUAUAAUCUCAGGUGGAAGCCUACCCAUCUUUCCUAUCUGACUUCAAACCACAACGAUGUCAGUCCCUGUUAGCGACGGAUUCCUUCAGCCUCCGUCGCUUGACUUUGUACAGGAUGAAUCCCCUCACAGUCUGCACUACAUUUAUUUGGAUAAUCUACAUUUGGAGAUCUAUUUGUGGCUGGACGUCUGUGCUGCACUGUGUCAUGGCCUGAAGAGAGCAUGUGCAGCGGUAGGAUUAAUAAGCCUCUUUCAGUCCGCUUCGGUUAGGCUCAACUCCACAGGAGAGCCGAACAGCGGCCGCAUGCAGCGCACAACACUGCAAUCCAAAACUGAUAGAAUUAGACAAGUCAGCGCUACAGAGCAAGUUUUCUGGAGGAGAGGCAGGAAAAAUAAUUCUAUUGCAUUCAGUAUGUGGUAUGUUUCUUGUUACUUUAAAAGGUACACUAUGUAACUUUUUUUUGUUCAAAACAUUUAACAUUAACAUUUCAAUAAUGUCAUUAGUCCUUCUUCCAAAAUGUGUUUUUGUCUUACCCUGAUUCACUAUGCUAAGCCUAUUAUAAGUGUAUAUAUAUAUAUUUCAUGUGAAAUUGCAUACAUACAUCGCUCGCCCCUUGCGUGUCUUGUCAUAUCUGUAAACAGAGAAAGGUUUCUCCAGCCAUAGAUAUAUAUAUGUUUCUCAGAUGGAUAAAGCAAACCAGCUUCUUGCUAUGAAAGUUUUGAUGGAUGAGGAUUGCAUGCAUGAGUCAGUUAUAUUGAUGCACAAACAAAUCAUGUAUAAGCGCUCUCGACGCACUGAUCGCACAUUGUAUUUAUGCACAGACACAUUUCAGUACAUUCACAUUGUUUUCACACACAUUCAGGAUAAUGUUUGGAUUUGUCCUG